rnacentral:rRNA from 11 species
GACUAUGCAAUAUUACUGGAUUAUGGACUAGUCCCAUUCAAAUCCUGUCUGAUCUCAGAAGCUAAGCAGGAUCAGUCUAGGUUCGUACUUGUAAGGGGCCCCACAGAGGAAGACCUGGUGCUGUAGACA